AUACGAAGGGUGCAAGCGUUGUUCGGAUUUACUGGGCGUAAAGCGUCCGUAGGUGGUUUGUUAAGUCAGUGGUGAAAUCCCAGGGCCCAACCCUGGAACCGCCUUUGAUACUGGCAAACUGGAGCGUGAUAGAGGAAGAUGGAAUAUCUGGUGUAGGGGUGAAAUCCGUAGAUAUCAGAUGGAACACCAAUGGCGAAGGCAGUCUUCUGGAUCAUUGCUGACACUGAGGGACGAAAGCGUGGGGAGC
rnacentral:rRNA from 1 species